AGAGUUUGAUCCUGGCUCAGGAUGAACGCUAGCUACAGGCUUAACACAUGCAAGUCGAGGGGCAUCAGGAAGAAAGCUUGCUUUCUUUGCUGGCGACCGGCGCACGGGUGAGUAACACGUAUCCAACCUGCCCUUUACUCGGGGAUAGCCUUUCGAAAGAAAGAUUAAUACCCGAUAGCAUAAUGAUUCCGCAUGGUUUCAUUAUUAAAGGAUUCCGGUAAAGGAUGGGGAUGCGUUCCAUUAGGUUGUUGGUGAGGUAACGGCCCACCAAGCCUUCGAUGGAUAGGGGUUCUGAGAGGAAGGUCCCCCACAUUGGAACUGAGACACGGUCCAAACUCCUACGGGAGGCAGCAGUGAGGAAUAUUGGUCAAUGGGCGUUAGCCUGAACCAGCCAAGUAGCGUGAAGGAUGAAGGCUCUAUGGGUCGUAAACUUCUUUUAUAUAAGAAUAAAGUGCAGUAUGUAUACUGUUUUGUAUGUAUUAUAUGAAUAAGGAUCGGCUAACUCCGUGCCAGCAGCCGCGGUAAUACGGAGGAUCCGAGCGUUAUCCGGAUUUAUUGGGUUUAAAGGGAGCGUAGGUGGACUGGUAAGUCAGUUGUGAAAGUUUGCGGCUCAACCGUAAAAUUGCAGUUGAUACUGUCAGUCUUGAGUACAGUAGAGGUGGGCGGAAUUCGUGGUGUAGCGGUGAAAUGCUUAGAUAUCACGAAGAACUCCGAUUGCGAAGGCAGCUCACUGGACUGCAACUGACACUGAUGCUCGAAAGUGUGGGUAUCAAACAGGAUUAGAUACCCUGGUAGUCCACACAGUAAACGAUGAAUACUCGCUGUUUGCGAUAUACAGUAAGCGGCCAAGCGAAAGCAUUAAGUAUUCCACCUGGGGAGUACGCCGGCAACGGUGAAACUCAAAGGAAUUGACGGGGGCCCGCACAAGCGGAGGAACAUGUGGUUUAAUUCGAUGAUACGCGAGGAACCUUACCCGGGCUUAAAUUGCAGUGGAAUGAUGUGGAAACAUGUCAGUGAGCAAUCACCACUGUGAAGGUGCUGCAUGGUUGUCGUCAGCUCGUGCCGUGAGGUGUCGGCUUAAGUGCCAUAACGAGCGCAACCCUUAUCUUUAGUUACUAACAGGU
rnacentral:rRNA from 1 species